rnacentral:rRNA from 1 species
UACGUAGGGGGCAAGCGUUGUCCGGAUUCAUUGGGCGUAAAGAGCGUGUAGGCGGCCAGGUAGGUCGGUUGUGAAAACUGGAGGCUCAACCUUCAGAGGUCGACCGAAACCAUCUGGCUCGAGUCCGGGAGAGGUGAGUGGAACUGCGAGUGUAGAGGUGAAAUUCGUAGAUAUUCGCAAGAACACCAGUGGCGAAGGCGGCUCACUGGCCCGGUACUGACGCUGAGGUGCGAAAGCGUGGGGAGCAAACAGG